GGUGAGAAGCAGUUCUUGCAUGACCGGUGGCUAUCACCAUACAUCCACUACCACACAGGCUGUAAAUUACACUGAGCAGUUGGAUAUAAUCUAGACCGUGGACCAUCUUCUUGGAAGCCAGAUUAUUGUGUGUGCCUGUCCCUGGAAGCAACGGUAGAACUUGUGGCCCAUGAACUGCCUCAUAUUGCACCAGAUUAAAAGCAUGAAACUGCAUGGAGAAACACAAGAAAGCUUGUCUCUGCGGUCAGGCGAAGAUGAGGGCAUGAAGAUGUAUAACUGUCCCAGGUGGGAGAAGAGUACACUUUACCUCCUCAGGAUUUGUAACAGAGAUUCUGUUUAUUGGCCCUGGAGGAUGGCAAGGAACCGACACCUGUGCCCAAACGUUUUCCGAACCUUGGCAGAGGCGGGCACGUUCAUUAUGCUGCAGAGCUGUAGUUCCAAGUGUGCUCGAGGCAUGGGAGAGUAGCAGACUUCACCCUUGCAAGGAAAAACAGGUUAAGUAGCAA